GAACCAAAAUUAAAUAUUUUACUUGCAUGUUUAAGGUCGUAUGUGAGCGCGCCCUUAAUGGAAAGACUUAAAAAUGAUUAAAAAUAAAAGUACACAAAUUUAUUAAAAUACAAUCUAUCUUCAGGGACUAAAUAAAAUAAAAUAGAAAAGUACAAGGACCAAAAGAUGGAUUUUGCCAUUUAAUAUACAUUAUGGUAUAUUAUGGCCAAUAAGUGGAGCAGCAGUGGUAGGUAAUUUACUAUAUCCAUCAUCUAACCUUUCUUCCAAUUCAACUCUUUCUCCAUGCGUCUUCUUGCAUCUAUAGUAAAACACAGUAUAUGCUACAAACCAGUACAUCCUUAGCAGACUAGCACAAUUUACCACUAUCAAAGCUGCACAUACCUGAACUGCUACUGAUUCAUGGGCCUUGGCACUCACAUUCAUCCCUUGUACCAAAACCACACUUGAUAUUGAGAACAAGAGAUUCAUUAAGAAUCCUUGUAGCUUCAUGGCCUUGACAAUUUCUGAAGCCUUGAUAAUUGCCUUCAAUCCUCUGGUUUCUUCUACUGCAGAAACCACAAUUGCUAAAUUCCAAGUUACAGUUA
rnacentral:lncRNA from 1 species